rnacentral:rRNA from 1 species
AGUGAACGCUGGCGGUAGGCCUAGCACAUGCAAGUCGACCGGCAGCACAGUACGAGCCUGCUCUUACGGAUGGGGCGUGCCGGACGGGUGAAGAAUACUUCCGAAUCUACUUUUCUGUGGGGGCUUACGUAGGCCAACUUACGCUAAUACCGCAUAAUACCUCCGGGUGAAAGCAGGGGAUCUUCGGGCAUUGCGCGCUUGAAUGAACCGAUGCCGGAUUAGCUAGUUGGCAGGGUAAAGGCCCACCAAGGCGACGAUCCGUAGCUGGUCUGAGAGGAUGAUCAGCCACACUGGAACUGAGACACGGUCCAGACUCCUACGGGAGGCAGCAGUGGGGAUUAUUGGGCAAUGGGCGAAAGCCUGACCCAGCCAUACCGCGUGAGUGAAGAAGGCCUUCGGGUUGUAAAGCCCUUUUAUUAGGAAAGAAAAGUAGCGGGUUAAUACCCGGCUGUUCUGACGGUACCCAAAGAAUAAGCACCGGCUAACUUCGUG